CAAUCGGCCCUUUUCAGGGCCAACAAUAAUUUAAAACGUUAAACA
rfam:Nasonia vitripennis chromosome 5 unlocalized genomic scaffold Chr5_random003, whole genome shotgun sequence.